rnacentral:rRNA from 1 species
AACGAACGCUGGCGGCAUGCCUAACACAUGCAAGUCGAACGAGACCUUCGGGUCUAGUGGCGCACGGGUGCGUAACGCGUGGGAACCUGCCUUUAGGUUCGGAAUAACUCAGAGAAAUUUGAGCUAAUACCGGAUGAUGUCUUCGGACCAAAGAUUUAUCGCCUUUAGAUGGGCCCGCGUUGGAUUAGCUAGUUGGUGGGGUAAAGGCCUACCAAGGCGACGAUCCAUAGCUGGUCUGAGAGGAUGAUCAGCCACACUGGGACUGAGACACGGCCCAGACUCCUACGGGGGGCAGCAGUGGGGAAUAUUGGACAAUGGGCGAAAGCCUGAUCCAGCAAUGCCGCGUGAGUGAUGAAGGCCUUAGGGUUGUAAAGCUCUUUUACCCGAGAUGAUAAUGACAGUAUCGGGAGAAUAAGCGCCGGCUAACUCCGUG